rnacentral:rRNA from 1 species
GACGAACGCUGGCGGCGUGCUUAACACAUGCAAGUCGAGCGGUAAGGCCCUUUCGGGGGUACACGAGCGGCGAACGGGUGAGUAACACGUGGGUGACCUGCCCUCAGCUCUGGGAUAAGCCUGGGAAACCGGGUCUAAUACCGGAUAUGACUCCAUGACGCAUGUUGUGGGGUGGAAAGCCUUGUGCGGCUGAGGAUGGGCCCGCGGCCUAUCAGCUUGUUGGUGGGGUGAUGGCCUACCAAGGCGACGACGGGUAGCCGGCCUGAGAGGGCGACCGGCCACACUGGGACUGAGACACGGCCCAGACUUCUACGGAAGGCAGCAGUGGGGAAUCUUGCGCUAAUGCGGGAAACCGUGACGCAGCGACGCCGCGUGAGGGAAGAAGGCC